UUAUCUAUUUUUCGUUUUUUAUAAGGCGUCACGUACUCUACAUGUGACGUCGCCGGCCCUACUGCCCGGCGGGAGACGGGAAGACGAAAAAAUACAAUGAAAUGUGUGUUAGAAGCCUCGUAUCACUAUUAUCUCCUCCGUCUCUGCGAGAUUCAUGAAAAGAAGGAAAAUUCAGAAGCCCCAAUUGGUUUCUUCGAUAGGCAAAAAAAGGCUAAAAAGAGUACUCGCAAAUAUUGGAACGAUGAACAAGCCUUAAUUCCGAAGUGGAACAUAUGCUUAUGAUAAUUUAUCCUGUAAUAUGGUUACAAGGCAUUUGUGAGAAAGUAGUUAAGAAGUGUAAGAAGCUAGUCUUUUUGAUUCAAUUUGGGAAUGGAAGUUGAUUUGAGGACUCGCGACCAAAUUAUGGCUAGACAUUGUAGCAGAAUUAAAGAUUCUAUUGUUGGAGGUUUGGUUAUGGGUUUGUCUAGAGGAAACUGAUAUUAGGGAAUCGGGUUUAUAUUAUUAGAUGAUUUCAUUAAGUUUAAUGAGUGGCUGUAUAUGAAGAUGAAAAAACCAGCUGAAGUAACUUUAAUGUUGGAAUCUAGAACCUAGAAAAAAUGCAGCGAGCAGUCUUCAAGAAAAAUGUGUGAAGAAGUUAAACCUUUGAAUAAAGAGAUAAGCGGCAUGAUGCUCGUAUAUCCACUUCGAGAUAUUCUCUGGGUCUUAGUCAAAUAUAGCCAAGGGUAUAGAAUGAAUCAUCUCCUUCAUGCGGUUAACACGUGACCAAAAGGUUUGACGUAAGCUCCUACUUUUGCCUGAAAUACGUUGGACCACCUAACUCCGCGAAGUUCAGCGGGUUUAUCUUGUUUGAUUCAUCAAACAGAAAACGAAAUUCUUUCAGCAUUUUAGCACGUUUGGUUUGAAUGAAGAUGAUGCAAAUGAUAUCUCAAUAGAUGAUGUGUCUCUAGGAUUUGAAUACCCUGUGGAUAUGGACGGAGGAGACUUUUCUGAUACUGACUAAGAAACCACCUUGGUCAAGUCAGCUGAAUUUUAACAUUCCUAUCAACUCAUCCUUGGCAUCCGGCCAAGAUGAAAGAAAUGAGUCUGAUGUUUCUGGCGGCAGAAUGGAGUAGGUAUGAUGGAAUGCCGAUAGAAAAGGACAAUUCAGUAAAGAAUCCGUAAGAGCACUUUUGCAGCAUAAAAUGUAGAGAGCUAACCCUUCCCACCCUCACCACCCUUAACUAGAGAGACUCCUUCAGUUUUUAUUGGAUAUGAACAUGGUAGUUUCGGCUUAGCCACACAUGGGUCCAUUUUGAUUAACCAAGAGAAUAAAAGUGUGUUUCUGGAGACAAAAGAAAAGGCUGAAGAUUUUGAGCUGGAAUCUGGAUAUCAAGCAACAAACACCUAUAAGUGGAAGCCACUAUAGUGAUUAAUGCAGCAUUGUUCACGGGUAGACUUAGAGUUGGUUGGCUCCCUAAUGGCAUUCCCAUACAUUCUGGUGUCAAUUGGAGGACUUUGCCAACUAAGUUGCUUUGACACGGGUGCGGAUUUAGAGGUCGGAUCCUCUGAGAUGUAAAUUUUAAGGUUCGGAGAUACGGAUCCUAGAACCACCACGGGUUCGGGGAUCCAGCUAAAAAAAACUCAAAAAAAUAAAAAUUUAAAAAUAUGUCUAAAUUAUGAGAAAUUUUGUGGAAUACUUACCUAUAGCUUGUAAAGUGUGAAUUUCUUUUUUAUUCUCAAGUUGUAGGAGUGAUUUCCUUCCAUUCUCGGAUUCUCCUACAAGUUACAUAAAGUAUAUAAAAUAUAAUAGAUAUCACAUAACUACAUAAGUAAAAGAGUUAGAUAUAUAAAGAUAAAGAAAACAUACCUUUUAGGCUUUUCCUGGUUUUGUCGAAGAACUUGACAUGAACAUAGAGAAUAAAAGACGUAAUUAUCAUUCCUCUCACAAGUCACAAAUUAUAAAGAGUUAGUCAUUCUCAUUAAGUCAAUCAAAUAAGCAUGAACACCAAAAAGACAAAAAUAAACUACAAUUGCAAUCACCAUUCUCCAUGCAAAAUUAUAUUAACAUUGAAUUAUAUAAACUAAUAAAAAGUAGGAAGGUAUAACUAUUAAAUUUUAGCAUUUGAACAAUAAUAUUUAGCAUUCUUCCUCAAUAUUUUCAAGAUCAAUUUCUUACACGUCUUCAACCUCUUCUUCAAAGAUUACUCCUUCUAGUUGAGGUUCAUCUAUUGAUAAGUCAACUAGAUCACUGGUGGCUUCAUCAACAUCAAAACGAUCUCCACCUAAAGCAAAAUUAAAAUAAAAAUGAUUUAAAAAUAAAAGAAAUAUAAAAUCAAGAAAACAUAGAUUAUAGACAUACUCACAUCCCAAUACGUGCUUGGGCCACUUGUAUAUUUUUCUGUUUGACGAGAAAGCAAGCGAAGAUUGUAGUGCACAAAAGCUAGAUCUUCGGCUCUUGAAGUCUCGUACUUAUUUCUUUUGAUGUUAUGGAUCAACGAAUAGGGCUCCAAUUCCUUUAGCAACAAUAAGAAACCAAUUGUGAAAGCAAUUUGUAAGCCAAGCUUUGCAAAAACGGAGCAUUUACACCAUGGUUUGCCCACCAAGAUACAAGCUUCUCAUACAUCAUAGCCUCAACCACAUGAGAAUCACUAAUAAAACCACUCUCACUUGCGAAUGCUCCAUACUCCAAAGACGCUUGUUUUAGAUCAUUUGAAUAUUUAAAGUAUUUUUGGAAGCAUUUAACCCUAUUUUAGGAAAUCUCUCUAUCCUCGUUAGGAGCAAGCCUUCGAACCUCAUGGCCUUUUUUAAGUCAUGACUCGUCGUAGUAUUUUGGUACCAAUGAAUGUGUUAUAUAAUAUAAAUGAGUGUUACUCUUAUUCUACCUAGUAGCAAGAAUUUCUUGAAUUGUAUCAAAAAAGUACGAUUGCCCGAUAAUAAUAUCCUUUCCCUCUUUCUCAAAGAUUAUUGCCUUCACAUUUUCGAUCAUUGUAUCCCACAUAUCAUAGACAAGAUGCAACUUUGGAGCAUCAAGAUCGGCACCUCUAAGCAUAGACACAAUUGAUUCCGUAAACUUUAAAAAGUACCCAAUCCUAUCCCACCAUCUGUCAUUCAUUUCAAGGAAUUUUAUUUCACGCGUUUUAGCUUCAGUCGCUUUACCUCCCUUAUAAUUUCUCCAAUCAUCGUCGAUCAUCAUUCUUUUCAAUGAUACUUUCACUUGAUGAAUAUGACUAGUCAUGACAACAUGAGAUGCAAAUCUCGUUUCGGCAACUUUCAACAAAGACAACGCCGAAUGCUUUUGAAAAAGAGCAUGAGUUAUAUCAUGAUUCAACACAAAAAAUUUCAAGCUACUAGCUUCACCAAUCAAAUCCAAAAUCCAUUUGUAAUUUACAAAUUGAGUUGAUUUUUCGGAAGGUUGACACAUACUUUUUAAUGCAAGGUUCAAACAAUGAACAACACAUGGUGUUCAAAAUAUAUGUGAAAAAGUUUGCUCAACCGUGAAACGACAAGCUUCAUAUUACUUGCAUUAUCGGUGAUAACUUGAACAACAUUACUUGCACCAACCUCUUCAAAACCUUGAGAUGAGAACCAUCAGAUUUUUUCACUGGUUAAGGGUAUAUCAGGAUAUUUUACUUGUAAGAAGCCAUGAGAGAGACCCCUUAUGUUUCACUUUCCAAGUCUUUGAGCAAAGCAAGGUCAUAACAAUUUCCAAAAUUAAAUUUAACUCCUGAUCAACUGCCAAACCUAGUCAGAACAUUACUUACAACAAAAAAUGAACAGUAACAAACCUCUGACAAUCUGCUGAAAUGAUGAAAAAACCUACCAUCAUCAACUUAAAACAGAAAUGAACAUGCUAAGAGUUCAUUAGUUUUACACUACGGCAGAACUCAAAGGGGAGGCAUUACAUUUGCACCUCAUAUAACAGAAGAAUAUCUCCUCAUCACUUGAUCUUUUCCUUCCUUUUAAAAAAAAAAGAUUCUCCUAAUCACAUGAUCUGUCAUCAAACAUAAACCAGCAGCACCUGCGCUGGAAUUUGUAUGUCCUGCUUCAAACAUCAUAGAAGAUAGGACCAGAGACUCAUGGAUUAGAAGUCUAAAGUAAUUAUCCCACAACUAAAUGCCAAACAGCAAGCCCUCCUGUAACAAAAAAGAGUAGUUCAAGCAAGAAAGGCAAGGACACAAAAUUCUCAAGCAUAACUCAAGCGACUAUAAAAGGAAACCUGGUUCUGAAAAUGCAUUAUGCCAAAUGAUGCUAUUAUUGUAUAGACACGCAAACCAAGCUAAAAUGCAACAGCAUCAAGUACAAGAUGCUGACACAGGUAAGAGCAAGACUGGCUAAUAGCAAGGCACAAGGGCAAUACACGUAGUUUUCCAUGUUUGGGGAAAGGUAAGAGAUUCUCUAGAUUGAAUUUCUUCAUCCAUUCAUUUUUUCGUUUUAGUAGUAGGGGAAAUCUGAAAAUGUGCCCUAAACAAUUACCUAAAUAGAACUAUUUAUCCAGGUUAUAUGCAAUGCAACAAAUAUUUUCCUUCAGCCUUGUUUAGUCUAGGAUUACCAUGUACAUCCCACAUAUGAAACCAUUGCGCAGACGUAUUAUACUAAAUCCUGGAAGAAAUGAAUGACUUAACCAUGCAAAAGACAGUAAAAGCUUUAGUGGGAGCAGCAACUGAAACAACCACCACACAAAUGUAAUAUCCCAGAAAUAGAGUGCACCGAUUACUUGAACAACAUUAAAUCAAUUGAAGAGGUUGGUGCAAGUAAAGUUGUUCAAGUUAUCACCGAUAAUGCAAGUAAUAUGAAGCUUGCCGGUUCUACGGUUGAGCAAACAUUUUCACAUAUAUUUGGGACACCAUAUGUUAUUUAUUGUUUGAACCUUGCACUAAAAAAAAGUAUGUGCCAACCUUCCGAAAAAUCAAUUCAAUUUGUAAAUUACAAAUGGAUUUUAGAUUUGAUUGGUGAAGUGAGUAGCUUGAAACUUUUUGUGUUGAAUCAUGAUAUGGCUCAUGCUCUUUUCCAAAAGCAUUUGGCGUUGUCUUUGUUGAAAGUUGCCGAAACGAGAAUUGCAUCUCAUGUUGUCAUGGCUAGUCGUGUUCAUUAAGUGAAAGCAUCAUCAGAAAGAAUGGUGAUGGAUGAUAAUUGGAGAAAUUAUAAGGGAGAUAAAUUGAUUGAAGCUAAAAUGAAUGAAAUAAAAUCACUUGUAAUGAAUGACGGAUGGUGGGAUAAGAUUGAGUACUUUUAAAGUUUACGGAACCAAUUGUGUCUAUGCUUAGAAGUGCCAAUCUUGAUGCUCCAAAGUUGCAUCUUGUUUAUGAUAUGCGGGAUGCAAUGAUCGAAAAGGUGAAGGCAAUUAUCUUUGAGCAAGAGGGAAAUGAACUUAUUAUCGGGCAAUCGGACUUUCUUGAUACAAUUCAAGAAAUUCUUGCUGCUAGGAGUAGCAUUCCUUUACAUUGUAUGGCACAUUCAUUGGUACCAAAAUACUACCACGAAUCAUGGCUUAGAAAAGGCAAUGGGGUUCAAAGGUUUGCUCCCAAUGAGGAUAGAAACAUUUCCUUAAAUAGGGUUAAAUGCUUCCAAAGAUCCAAGUGAUCUGCGUCUUUGGAGUAUGGAGCAUUCGCAAGUGGGAGUGUUUUUUUAGUGAACCUCAUGUGGAUGAGGCUAUGAUGUAUGAGGUGCCUCUAUCUUGGUGGGCUUGGUGUAAAUGCUCCACUUUUGCCAAGCUUGUCUUACAAAUUGCUUUUACAACCGACUUCUUCUCCUUAUUGCAAAAAGGAAUUGGAUCACCUAUUCGUUGAUCCAUAUCAUCAAAAAAAACUAGUUAGAGACUUUAAGAGCCGAAGAUCUAAUUUUUGUGCACUACAAUCUUCACUUGCUUUCUCGUCAAAAAGAAAAAUAUAUAAGUGGCCAAGCAAGUAUUGGAAUGUGGGUAUGUCUAUAAUCUAUGUUCUCUUGAUUUUAUAUUUUAAAUCAUUUUAAUGUUGCUUUAGGUGGAGUUCGUUUUGAUGUUGAUGAAGCCAUCGAUGAUCUAGUUGACUUAUCAAUAGAUGAACCUCAACUAAAAGGAGUCAUCUUUGAAGAAGAGGUUGAGUAUAUGCAAGAAAUUGAUCUUGAAAAUAUUGAGGAAGAAUGCUAAAUGUUAUUUUUCAAAUGCUAAAACUUUAUAGUUAUAUUUUCCUACUUUUUAUUGGUUUAUGUAGUUCAACGUUAAUGUAACUUUGUUCGGGAAAAUGGUGGUUGCAAUUGUAGUUUAUUUUUGCCUUUUUGGUGCUCAUACUUAUUUGAUUGACUUAAUGAGAAUGACUAACUCUUUAUAAUUUGUGACUUGGGAGAGGAAUGAUAAUUACGUCUUUUAUUCUCUAUGUUCGUGUCAAGUUCUUCGACAAACCAGUAAAAGCCUCAAAAGGAGAAUUCGAGAAUGGAAGAAAAUCACGCCUACAACUUGAGGGAAAAAAAGAAAUUCACUGUUUACAAGCUAUGUAAGUAUUUCUCAUAAUUUAGGGAUAUUUUUAUUUUUUGAAUUAUUUUUAGUCGGAUCCUCGCACCCGUAUUGAUUCUAGGAUCUGUAUUCCCGAAUGUUAGCCCUCAUUUGGCCAUACAUUUUGGCAAGUUUUUUUCAAAAAAAUUUUGAAAACAUUGUUCGUCCAUAGAUUAGUGAUUUGUUUUUGAAAAAUUUCUGAAAAUAUUUUUCAAGUUUUCAAAAUCUAGUUUAUGGUAGAUUUUGGUUGAAAAUCAAGUUCCUACUCACAAAACUUCAAUUUUUUUUCAAAUAAAAUGCAUGUCCAAACAUAAUUUCAACUUCCAAAAAUUAUUUUUCAAAACUACUUCAAAAAUUAUUUUUUCAAGUUUCAACUCAAUCUAUGUCCAAACGCUAGCUUAAACUUUGCAUCUCAAAUGAUCCGCACCCGUGUCAGAGCAACUUGUGUGAAGAGUAUAUACCAACUACGUAAUAAAUUUUGAGAAUGUAGAGUACAUCCUUGUACAAAUGUUCUUUUGUGUUUCUGACUUGACAUAUGGGAAGCCCAUGUUACUGGAUGGUAGAAAAACUGAAUGGAAAUAGAAGCCAGCUGCACUGCUAGGUCAAUGUUAUCAAGUUGUUAAUGUACCAUCAGAAAGAAGGCUGGAUACUGAUAAGCGGCAUCUUCCAUCGUAUUUGGAACAAAGCCUGUUUAGCUGGAUCCCCAAUCGGAGACUCCUGCAAAUACAUGAUACCAUAUUUAAGUCAAAAAAUGAGGUUCAGCUAAGCUGGUAUGGUACCAUAUUUAAGUCAGUUAACCUGCUAUGGGUUCCCAUUUAAGUUACCGGUCCCUGACAGGUCAGUGUAUGCUAUUUGGCGGAUGCUCUCUUUUUACAUUUUCAUCUUCUGUGCUAGUGUCAUUGCUCCCUAUUCAUCAAUUCUGCUUUACAGCAAAUUUUUACACUUGUACAUUUAAUGAAAAUUUGAGUUGAUCUAGUCAUUGUUGAUAUAUUAUCACCCUCUGCAGGGUUUUCUGGUUCAUCGUCGCCUGUAUAUUGUAAUUAGAAAACUCCCCUCUCCACGCUCUUCCUUUUGAGUGCUAGUCAUUUACUUUUGUUGCUUUUACAGUGUUGUGCAUCCUUUCCUUGUAAAUAAUUUAGAUCUUGUGAUGUUUCUUUAUCCGUUUUCAAUAGGAAUAUCUGAGGAGAAGCAGAGUCAUUAAUCUUGGACUUCAUUCAUUUCCAUUAA